rnacentral:rRNA from 1 species
AGGCGACGAUCCCUAGCUGGUCUGAGAGGAUGACCAGCCACACUGGAACUGAGACACGGUCCAGACUCCUACGGGAGGCAGCAGUGGGGAAUAUUGCACAAUGGGCGCAAGCCUGAUGCAGCCAUGCCGCGUGUAUGAAGAAGGCCUUCGGGUUGUAAAGUACUUUCAGCGGGGAGGAAGGGAGUAAAGUUAAUACCUUUGCUCAUUGACGUUACCCGCAGAAGAAGCACCGGCUAACUCCGUGCCAGCAGCCGCGGUAAUACGGAGGGUGCAAGCGUUAAUCGGAAUUACUGGGCGUAAAGCGCACGCAGGCGGUUUGUUAAGUCAGAUGUGAAAUCCCCGGGCUCAACCUGGGAACUGCAUCUGAUACUGGCAAGCUUGAGUCUCGUAGAGGGGGGUAGAAUUCCAGGUGUAGCGGUGAAAUGCGUAGAGAUCUGGAGGAAUACCGGUGGCGAAGGCGGCCCCCUGACGAAGACUGACGUCAGUCAAAGCG